GACAAAGAAUGACAAAGCAAAAUAUUUUCACGCAGUUAGUAACAUCAGCUAACUGUAUGUUCAACUUUUAGUGGCAGUGUGCGGAGGAGACAGACGGUAACGUUAAUUCGGUACAAAGUUGUUCGCAAAACCGUUGCAAGCUAUGGGAAAUCCGAUCAAAUUAGCUGUGGAGUACUGUGGUAGCUGAGGUUACUAUGGACGCUUCAGAGAACUUCAGGCCAAAAUACAGAAUAAAUAUCCGGAAGUAGAAGUAUCCGGAUAUCAAGGUCGCCGCAGUUCUUUCGAAGUGUCCAUAAACGGAACUCUUGUUUUUUCUAAACUGAAGCAAGGUGGAUUCAUAUGAAAAAGACAUCAUGCAAGCCAUUGCAAAAGCUCAAGAAGGGCAAUAUAUUGAACCUGUUACAAAAAGCAAAUCUUCUUGUCUCGUCAUGUAAAGAAUUCCAUUAGUUGCAUCAUUCAAUUGAAGUUUUCCCCAUAUAGGCUACUACCCGGUCAUAUAUUCUUGUGCCUAGAUUUUCUAGCCCGAUUGUAGAUCUACUACUUUGCUACGCGAACUGUUGUGGUGAUUAAUAGUGUAAUUUUUCACAUAUGAUGACAUUUUCGUUAGAAAUCAGCGUAUCCUGACUAACAAAGAUUGACGCGGUACAACGCUAUGUGAUUUAUUAUACUACUGACUAUUCAUACAUCUGCUAUAUAUAUGUCUAUAUCGUAUAUCUGCUUGGAUUCUUGUAUAAUAUAUAUAACACAUUUAGCGCAAUAAAACUUUUUUGAUAUUGCCAUCUACUUUCGUACGAAUUAAGGGUCGUAGGAUGAAACGGUUUCUGCAAUAUAAAUAAUUAGUCGUGAAAUUCGAGAAAUGUAUAAAACAUGAGAAAUUUACAUUUUAUUGAAGAAAAUGUAUAAAUAGUUCAACGCUCAGUCAGUGCUGGACAGGGAAAAAGUUAACAAGUUAUUCGUUCCAGGCGGGGGAAGUUGUAGCGGGCCAUUUACCUGGACCUCCCUACGACGCGUAUAGCAAACAAUCCUCUCAUACAUUGAUAUAUAUUGAACACAAAUGGUACAUAUGUAUCGUUUUGGUAAAUUUGUUUUUAUCAUUCUUGAUGUUGUUGGGAUUUAUCUUGUUGCUAUUGCUUGUUGAGUAAAAUAUUGCUUUCUCCGCAACUACCAGUUUAUCCAAAUUCUCGGUGUUUAAAGAUGGAAGACGAUGCUAGAAGGCCAUUACUUUUGUUUUUAUUUAAAUUUUCUCUUAUGAGACUCGAUAUGAAUGAUAUUCUAUGUUUCACCAAAAUGUUGCUGUUUUAUUCUAACAUUCCGAAGUGCACGACCGCUUUUGUAUUGCUCCAUAUCUUUUAGCAAAAUCGGUGCUUUGAGGCCUCCGCCGUGCAGUUCCGGUACCCGGUCGUCGGAUUAUAAACUGGAACCCACCAUGAUUGCAGUGUGUUUUGUUUCACAAGUUAAACGCCCACACUAUUGUUGUCGUUUUUUAUUAGUUUUUUGAAUUGCUUUAAAAGUAUUGCCAGAGUUCUAAUUGUGUUGACCUUUUGUGUGCUUGCAUUAUUUGCGGGCGCGUACUUAUUUAUGUUUUCAGCCUUUUUUCUAAGUUAUGCUCGCCUUCCAGGUACCUUUGGUUCAACAUAACCGCUGGUCGGUUACGGCCUCAUCCUCCAUCAAGUUUAUGCAUCUGAAAUGAAUAACUGGCUAACUAAUCCCAUACCUGACAUGGACUGUUACCCGGACGAGAGGUCGUGGUUCGCCAUAUGAUCAAGCCGUCUUAGCGGCUUUUUUCUUACCCGGAAUAAAUAUGUAAAUCCUUCUAUCCUGAGUGUGUUGAAUGAGUGAAUGGCAAAUAUAAUUCCUCAUGUUUUAAACUUUAUUGGCGGUUUUGUCGAUUUUACCGACUUUCCAAUCUUGCAUGUGUUUCAAUCUUAUAUUUGGUGUAUGUUUUCGCGGGAAUAUAAAUUCGAGUUUUGCUAUAUACUAUUCGUUUAAAUGUACAAUGUUUUUGCACGACGGAAAAUAAAUAUCUGAAUCAUUGU